rnacentral:lncRNA from 1 species
CUCCUAAAAUUACUCAUGGCCAAGAAUUAACUACCUGGACUCAGUGGAUUUCUUUGUCUUCCAAUGCCCUCCUACUGUGCAUAUGCCAAGAGUCAGAUGCCUUCCAAUGCUCUUUCACUAUCAUCUAUAUUUAGCCACCUGUUAUUAUACAUCCGAGGACCUGCUUUUCCAAAGUCUAAACACUACUCUUGGAUAACCAAUAGAAAAUGAAAUAGCUUGUUAUUUAAAGGGUGGUCAUUUAAAACUCAGCUGAUGAUAGCUGGUAAAAACAACAUCUUGGAGACUCUAAAAAUAGAAGGGUCUAUAAAGUAAGAUAGAAGGCAUUGAAAUCUAAAAGAAAGGCUUGAUUAACAUUGAAGUCUCCUGUCUAACUUCUUUACUUUAUGAACCUCUUCUCAAAGCCACGCCAUUGGGACACCUACUUUUAAAUCGUUUUCAUUUCUGACUUGAGAAAUCAUGCUUGCUCUAUCGGGACAAAUAAUUCAAGCUUACUUCAGUGUUGAUGCUGAUCCUUUGCUGCUCUCACAGGUGUGCUUUAAUUUUGAGACUAAGAACCCACCUUAGAGUCAGCACAGUCUCUUAUCUAUCAUAUAUUUUAUUCUAAUCGGUCCUAAUUUUUGCAAAUUAUGGGAAGUUCCCUGGUGGCCUAGUGGUUAGGGAUCCAGCAUCAUCACUGCCGUGGCGCAGGUUCUAUCCUUGGCCUAGGAACUUCCACAUGCCAUGGGCAUAACCAAGAUAAAAGAUUAUGAAAGAAUGUUAUUAGUAAUGCUUAAGACUAUUAUUAGAAACUGGAGCAGUUUGUUCUGUCAUCUGCAUAUAACAGCUGUAGAUAAAAGAACUAGAGAACUUUAUUCAGUCAGAUUUUACUUACAGUAGGAAUGAUUAACUAUUUUCAAUAAUUCUUAGAAGGAAAAAGUAAAAACUGAACCCCGAAUCUUGAUGGAGAACUGUCAAAAAUUUCCUAAAGCACUUUUUAAAAUGCCUAUUGAGGCACCAAAAUAUUUUAAGUUGGUAGGAAAUCAGAAUCCACUGGGAGAACAGAAACAAGCUUAAUAAUUACUUUGAGGCAAAACUAAAACUUUGAAUCUCUGUGGUACAUAAAGGAAAAAAAAUGUGUUCUUGUCAUUGCAGCGUAGCUAGCACCUUAACUAUUUUACGCACAGUGAAUGAGAAGAUACACAUCAUUUUGUUAGCAUGAGAUAACUAGGCACUAAUUUUUACAGUUAAUGCAGAAUUCUCACAUGCAUUUUAUUUAUAUAGCUACUGUGUCAAAAGGUUUCUGAGAAUAAAAACUGUUAUUAAACACUCACAGAUUCAGGGUCAAGCUUAUUACUAGCAGUCACGAGGAGGCCAGCAGAUGUUAGUUCCAAUUUAUAUAUUUUUUCACAGUCAGUAGGCAAAAACUUAUAAUUAUUUUAUACAGAAGACUGAAGUUCAACAUAUUUAAAUCUUUCACAUAGUGUCACGGAGCUGAGACAGAACUGGAAUUUUUACCUUAAUUGUUUAAAUGACUGUUCCUUCAACAAGGUGACAUUAUUUUCCGACCUAUAAUUUGGCCUGAAAAUUCUUCUCAGGUCUAAAAUUUUGGUGUCUUACUGUGAACAUUCUCAACAUUCUCUUUAGUAAAAGAAUUAUUCACAAUAUUAAGAUCUUACUAUGAAUGGAUAUGUCCUGAGACUGUUCCAAACAUUUGUUUAAAUUCAAAGGCCAUUAGAAUUAACAAUUAAAAAGUUUAAUACAGUUCUUCAUUUUUUUUUUUAUCUUUUUGUCUGUUUUUUUAGGGCUCCACCCAUGGCAUAUGGAGGUUUCCAGGCUAGAGGGUCCAAUUGGAGCUGUAGCUGGUGGCUUAUGCCACAGCCACAGAAACGUGGGAUCUGAGCCAUGUCUGUGACCUACACCACAGCUCACGGCAACGCCGGAUCCUUAACCCACUGAGCAAGGCCAGGGAUCGAACCCGAGUCCUCAUGGAUGCUAGUGGGGUUCAUUAACUGCUGAGCCACAACAGGAACCCCAAGUUGUUCAUUUCUUCAUUUCUAGAUUAACUGGGACUUGUAAUAUAAUUUAUGUGGAAUAGGAAGAGGAAUGGCUUCAUAACAAACGAUAUAGUGGUAGUAUUUUUGUGUAUUUACAUAGAUUUCAGCAUUGCACUGAUGUGCUAACAUUACUCUGGGUCUAAUUAUAUGAUUUUAGUUAAUUUUUGACUGUUUUCCACUGUGAUUGAAGAAUAUACUCUGAGUAAUUUUUUUAUGGUCCAUUAUAUUAUCAAUUUGAUACUCAUCCUAUGUGCAUUUGAAAAGAAUAUGUGCUCUGUCAUUGCUGGGCUCAGUGUUCUAUUAUUUGAUGCAGAGUUCUCUAUGUCAUUUACAAAAGAUCUGUAAAUUAUGCUGUUAACAAAAGGGAGGGGAGGUCCCACUGUGGUUCAAUAGGAAAAAAACCUAGCUAUAUCCAUGAAGAUGUGGUUCAAUCCCUGGUCCUGCUCAGUGGGUUAACAUCUGGUGUUGCCCUGAGCUGAGGUGUAGGUCAUAGAUGUGGCUUAGAUCUCAUGUUGUUGUGGCUGUGGCUGUGCUGCAGGCUGGCAGCUGCAGCUUCGAUUUGACCCCUCGCCUAGGAUCUUCCACAUACCACAGGUACAGCCCUACAAAGACAAAAAGAAAAAAAAAUGCUGUUAAUGUUUCUAUAUCCUUACUGCCUUUUACCUGCUUUUUCUUUCAAUUACUGAAAAUGUUCUGUGUACAUCUUCCACUAGGACUAUGAAUUUUUGUAUUAUUUCAGUUGUGUCAAUUUUUGCACAUAUAUAAAUAUUAUAUUUUUUGGUAGACUGACUUUUUUAGCUGUAUGAAAUAUUCCUCUUUAUUUUUCAGUGCCCCAAAGUCUACUUAACCUGAUGUUAGUAGAGUUAUAGCAGUUUUCUUCCAUUGGUUUCUGCAUAUUUUACCUUUCUUAUUUUUUUUUUUUUCAUUUUAAACCCUAUAGUAUCUGUACAUUUAGGGAGUUUCUGGAGGGUAGGGUGAUUUGGUUUAUGGAUGCCAAUUAGACAAAUGGACUGCAUCCUAUUUGGAAGGCUACCACUCUGAAGAAGGUAAAAACAAAUCAACUCAGUGGACUGAACUGAAUGUCGUUUGCUUCUAUAUUUGGGUUUUACUAAUGGGCAGUAGCCAAUGGUCAGGUAGAAAACAAUGGAAAACUAGUCUUAUGAAUGGAUACCCAUAGGAGGCAUGGCUCCAACAAAAUCAUUCUGGGAACCUAAGGGGCAUGUGAAAGUAGUUCACAUCAGUGCCCAUCGGAAGUAUCUUCUUCCAGAAUNAAAAAAAAAAAAAAAAAAAAAAAAAAAAAAAAAAAAAACUAGCAGUAGACUUCUUGGUUUAUUCACUGGAGGUGGCCACCUGGGUCUAUAAAUGAGUGGACACUACGGGGAUACAGUAAUGCAGAGAUGGUCUAAAUGUAGGCAUACUUCUCUUGCACCCUCUGAGGCACAAAAUGCCAGUGAUAACUGUUGUGUCUGCCAGUGAGGGACAGAGAUUGAAAAUGGCUAGGGAACCAAUUUCUCUAGGAGGAAGUUCUGCACACAGUCGGCAAGUCUAACUGAUGUCAUUUGCCUCUGGAGGUUGCAAAUGGAUCCCAAGGAGACUAAAGUCACUUAUUCCUGACUGGGCUUUGCAUACCUGGUGGUAGACAUAAAUGUUCCAAGUACUAUAAAAGUACCAGGACAGAAGAUAUCACACCAAUUUGAACCACCAAGACAUUCUUUUCAGACAAAGGAAUACACGAUAUAGUCUAUGUUUAACCAUGAGCAGAGAGAUAUUUGCCUCAGAGUAAUGGUUUGAUCAGGAAUUGAAUGGACUAUUCAAACAUUGGUUGUCUAAAAAUGGAAGGAGAUGAAAGCAAUAAGAAGUGCCUUGCAUGCCUUUGCAAGUGUGUGCUCAUACUCAACAUAAGGGUAGCCAAGGGACUAGUAGAAUCCCACUAGAGAGAGUUUCUUACUUUUACAGAAGAUUUUAGGAAGAAGAGGUGGGGAGAAUGAUGGUUGGACUGUGCUGUGCUAUUAUUCCCAUGGUGGCACUACUAUACUUUUUACUUUUUCCCCCAAAGGCCCUCAAGUUUCUUUUCUCUUACCUAAUCCAGUGGUUCCAGGACCUGGGCUCAACUGGGUGUAGAAAGGAGCAAUGUAGCAACCUAACUGGGCUAAGGGCUACCCAGAGCGCUAGUCAAACAUUUUUUCUAGGCAUAUCUGUGAGGGUGUUUCUUGAGGAAGAGAUUAGCAUUUUAAUCUGUAGACUGAAUGAAGAAAAUAGACCUUCCCCAAAUCAGGUGGACAUUUUUCAAUUCACCGAGAGUCUGAAUAGAACAUAAAGUUCACCCUUCCACCCGCAGGAAGCGUAGACUUGCUCCCUUCACUUGAGGAAGGACAUCCAUCCUCUCUGCCCUCAAACACCAGUGCUUAAGGUUCUCAGGUAUUCAGACUUGGACCAGGAAGCACGUAUUCAGACCCUCAGUUCUUAGGGCUUUGGACUCAGACAUAUACCAUCAGUUCCUGCAUUCUCAGGCCCUCAGACUCAGCCUGAAUUGCAUCGCCAGCUCUCUUGGUUCUCCAGCUUGCCAACAGCAGAUCUUAGGACUUCUUGGCCUCCUUAAUUAUAUGAGCCAAUCCCUAUAAUAAGUCUUUCUCUAAAUAUAUACACACAUGCAUAUAUAUAUGUAUCUCCUGUUGGUUCUCUUUCUCUGAAGAACCCUGACUAAUAGAGCUGGCAUUUUUUGCUGCUGCUGUUGUUGUUGUUCUUGUUUGUUUUGUUGUUGUUGGGCUCCAUCUGCAGCACAUGGAGUUUCCCAGGCAAGAGGUUGAAUCAGAGCUAUAGCUGCUGGCCUACACCACAGCCAUAGCAACGCAGGAUCCAAGCUGCAUCUGCAACCUAAACAACAGCUUAUGGCAACGCCGAUCCUUAACCCACUGAGCAGGCCAGGGAUUGAACCUGCGUCCUCAUGGCUGCCAGUCAGAUUCGUUUAUGUUGAGCCACAAUGGGGACUCCAACAACUGGCAUUUUUCAUAAGACUAUAAUAUGAAUAUUAAUGUUUUGGGUAAAAAUUGAGUAACAGCCUCUUUGAGAUGUAACACCAAUGGAAAAUGACUCAACUGAGGAAAAACUGGAUUUAAGUAACCAUCAGUUGUAUCUAUGCUAAACAAUUUUGCACAAAUUUGUCAUAAGGUAUAAAUAAUGGUAGACCAGGAUAAAAAUAAAAAAUGAAUGGAGUGGCAUUACAGGAUAGAUUAACUUUUUUUUUAAAAUCUAAUUUUACCUCACACUGUCUUAUCCAAAUUUUACACAUAGUCAUACAAUACUAUUGCUGUGUUUGUCAUAUAAAUACUUUAACAAAUGUAGAAGCCCAGAUAAGUAUGAUUGUUUUACUGUAAAAAAGCUUUAGCCAAAGGUGAGCGAGCCCUAUACAGUAAAAAAUGUAGCUUUGCCCAAAUAUAGAUCUGGACUCUGUCCUUGCUUCCCGGGAGGUAACCUCUAAACCCAAAGGGCUUGACAGUCUUCCAGUGUCUUUUGAUUGCUUUUAACUUGACAUUUCUAACUCUACUUCAGUGGAAGUAUGAGUCUUCUGUGACAUGUUCCAUUCUAUCUGUAGGUGGAUGUCUAUGGUGCAGGAAUUAUUUCAUGCUACAGAUGGGAAAAUUAAAAUUACACAUCUCUCAAAAUAUAGCUACAGGUUUUAAAAGCAGAUGUCUCUGAUUCCAAAUCCUGUUAUAUUUAAAACUUACCUAUAUACUAUUAAAUUUUUUGGUGGAAGAAGAAUAUUAUAUAGUAGAAUAGAUAUGAAUUGUUAAAUUAUUUGAGAUGGAACAGUGUAUCAGAUUUUACAUACUUACAUGGUAUUUCCUAAAUAUAUUAUGCUGUACACCAGAGUUUUGCAAUGUGUUAAUAGUUGAUAUGGAAAAAAAAUCAAUUGCCAAAUUAUUUGGAGCCCAUCAAGUAGAACAACAUUAAAUACAGUUGGCCCUCUGUAUGGGUGAAUUAUUCCACACCUGCAGAGUCAACCAACCACAGAUUGAAUUCAACCAUGUGGAACCCAGGUAGGGAGGGCCAGCUGUAGAUGCUGUUUUAUAUAAGACACUUGAGCAUUGGCAGAUUCUGAUACCAGUGGGGAUCCUAUAACCAGUCCUUUGCAUUAAAAACUCAAGUUUUUUUCAGAACCGCUCAAUAAAUUUAAAGCAAUAAUAUCCACUGCAGAACUCAAAGCCCAUAUACAGUAUACAGCAUUUCUCUGAGGCUGUCUGAUUGCUAUCAUUUGCUUUACCUAAACAUUACUCAGAUAAGAAUAUUUCUCAGGAAGAUUCCAUUUCCAAGAUAGAAUUAUAUAGGGAACAGAUAAAUAGAAAACAGUUUUGGUGGUAGAAUCUGCACUGUCAGUAAGCAAAUCAGUAUCGAGGUUUUGCAUGUUUGGAUGGCUCAAAAUAGUCUUUCAAUACUGAGACAUCAGAACUGAAGGGUCAAAAAGACUAGAUAACAAAAUAAAGAGCUUAUUUUUGUUUUAAAGUAAAUGGAAAGUGAGACAAGUAUUAACAACUUAUUCCAGUAAAAAUUAAAAGAUCUGGGUUCCACAUCUAAUUUGUCAACAGCUAGUUUGAUGGGGUUCAGCAGGAAUUUAGCCUUUUUAUAAUUCAGUUCCUUCAUUUCUAAAAUUAUAAAGAGGGGCCAUAUGAUUUUUCUAGUUCUAACAUUUUGUGACUUUUUUUCUGUAAAUUAAAAAGUGAAAGGCAUAAGAUCUUUUUCGAAAAGUUUUCAUAAGAGAAUACAUUUUUUAAAAUAUGCCUCAGAAAAUGCUAUCGUGGAGACAAUGGAAUACCUUUGUGUAUGUGUUUUUCUAGACUGCUUUCAGUAAAACAAAUUUGACUGAGAUAGUUUAGUUUGUGUCAGUCCUGAAGAUGGGAGAAAAACUAUAACUCAAGUCAAUUUCAGAUUCCCAGACUCUAAAAAGCCAAUAGAAUAAAAUGUUAGUUGCUUGAGUUUUACAAACACUGCAUUAAAUCUUCAACAUAUGAACAGCACUACUGCCUGUGGCAUCUGAGAAAGAAAGGAGAUUACCAUCUUAUUAGAAAAUCUUAGGUACUUAAUGACCAUAUUCCCAAGUGUGUUAAUGGGCAAUCAUUUUUCUGUUCUUGUUAGAACAUUUGGCAUAAAAACACUGCAGCAAAAUGAUAAUGCUUCACAUAUUUUUGAAUUAUAAUUGUACUCUAUAGUAAUUGACUAUCUGAUACUCGCUUACUUGAUUAGCUGUCCAUUAGCAUUUUUCUACUACUUACUGCCUCACUAAUCUGUCUGCAGCUAUAACCACUAAUCAAAAUACCAAACACUAUGGAAGUGAAAGAAACAUGGCAUGCUAGAUACAUUUCAUGUGGGAACAUUAGGUUUGAGAUUUAGAUAAAUUAUUACU